AUGGACAAGACACUGAUGGAGUGGGCAAGAAAGACCAUCCUGCACAACAACGUUGCCAGGUUCCUGGACUCACUUUUUAUAAUGCUCCGGAAAGUGCAUGCUCUGGGCUUUAGGCCCGUCCUCCUCAUAGGGAAGCAGUCCCGUGGAGGCUGCUGGGGAGUAGAAAUCAUGAUGCCCACCAACCCUCAGCCAGGUCUGGAGGAGGACUGCCUCCAGGAGCUGCUCAAAUACUAUGAAUCUUUACUGAAGCAUAUGCCUGACAACCAGCUUCUCACCAACUCCACAGAAGCCACCAGUGGUAGUGUCCUGGAAGGACAAGCGGGACAGGACGGAGACGAGGGUGAUGUUAGCACUGGGGAAGGAGUGGACGAAAGGGCUGCAGAUGUGGAAGUGGUAGAAGACGAUGGAGAUAGAACUGAGGGAGAUGAAGAGGACAUGGAACCUGACUACCAGCCACCUGCCAAGAAGACAGAGUAGAGCGAGCUGCACUACACCACAGAGGCGUGCUCUCCAAACUCUGUUUAGCCAUAAUAGUAUUUUUUAAAUGUUGUGCAACAGCUGUAUGCAUGUUCAUGUUUUCUAUCAAGCAUCUGUCUGUGUGAGAGGCCCGAUAAAUAAACGACUUAAGGCAGAGAAACAGCGUCAUUCAUUAUUUUAAUCUCCUUGUGGAAAUGUACCAAUCCAGACAAAAUACAUACAUCUACUGAAAUGUAAAACGAUGACUGUCCACCAAGGUUUAGGCUUACUUCAAUUUGCGCACGGUCUGUAUUUAUGACUGGUUAUCAAAUCAAAGUUUAUUUGCAGAUGUUAUCGCAGGUGGAGCCAAUUUCUUGUGUUUCUAUCUCCAACAGUGCAGUGAUAAUACCUAGAAAACAAUAAGCACAUCCAAAAGCAAAGGUUGGGCAGUUCUACUACGACAGCCCUAGAUUGCUGUGUAUCUGUGUUGUGGAGCCUGUGUUCAUACUCAUUCUCUCUUCAGGUAUUAUCAGAAGAGGGUGCUGAUAUCAGAUCUACCUGAAGAGACUCAGAGACAGCAGAGGGAGGCCUGGAGAGAAGCAUCCAGACGGCGUCGUGCCCGCGAAUUGUCCUCCCUUCAGACGAACCCCACGCAGCCCUGCCACCUCCCCAAGAACACAGAGACACCCGGGGAGACUAGGGGACACCAGAGGGGCAGGCAGUAGGGUAGAAAGUUUGGAUAGCUACUGGACAGUCUUCUUUUGACAUUCCAUACAGACCACUUACUUAAAAUGAGAUCUUGAGCAUGGCCUUUAACAAUUUCAGGACUGAAUAGAUACCUGGUUCAUCUCUGUAAUUGAUGUCAUUGAGCCUAUCAACAGGAGGCACUGUUUGUGCAUGUUCAGGAGUUUCCUGACAGGUUGAACUUACAGGUGUACCUUAUCAUCCAUACAUGCAGCGUUAUUCUAUUAGGUGUUCAAUUUAGCAUCAAAUAUUGUACUGUUUGUAAUAGCAAUAAAGCGAGACAAAUGUUUUUCCUUAUUCAUUUACUGUCCAUCUUUUGCAAAUGAAUAACAUUUAACAAACUGAAGAUGCUCUUGGAUUUCAAAUGGUUUUAUCUGAAACAAUUGGAUAGGUGUUAUAGAAUUUAUGACUAAAAU
ensembl:lncRNA